UACAGAGGUGGCAAGCGUUGUUCGGAAUUACUGGGCGUAAAGGGCGCGUAGGCGGCCCGUCAAGUCCCGUGUGAAAGCCCCCGGCUCAACCGGGGAACGGCGCGGGAAACUAGCAGGCUUGAGUUCGGGAGAGGGAAGCGGAAUUCCGGGUGUAGCGGUGAAAUGCGCAGAUAUCCGGAGGAACACCGGUGGCGAAGGCGGCUUCCUGGACCGACACUGACGCUGAGACGCGAAAGCGUGGGGAGCGAACAGG
rnacentral:rRNA from 1 species